rfam:Gossypium arboreum cultivar AKA8401 contig_59327_1, whole genome shotgun sequence.
AUCCCAUUACGAGGACACUUACAUAAUAAUUCCUUGAAUCGCUCUCAAGCCUCAUACAAAGACUCGUCAUCUAAUUGUUGGAAAGUUGUGAUCUCCUUCCUCAACUU